UACAGAGGCCUCAAGCGUUGUUCGGAAUUACUGGGCGUAAAGGGAGUGUAGGUGGUUGUGUAAGUCAGAUGUGAAAGCCCUAGGCUUAACCUGGGAACUGCAUUUGAUACUGCACAGCUGGAGUAUAGGAGAGGAAAGGGGAAUUCCUGGUGUAGGGGUGAAAUCCGUAGAUAUCAGGAGGAAUACCAAUGGCGAAGGCACCUUUCUGGCCUAUUACUGACACUGAGACUCGAAAGCAUGGGUAGCAAACAGG
rnacentral:rRNA from 1 species